GACGAACGCUGGCGGCGUGCUUAACACAUGCAAGUCGAACGGAAAGGCCCUGCUUUUGUGGGGUGCUCGAGUGGCGAACGGGUGAGUAACACGUGAGUAACCUGCCCUUGACUUUGGGAUAACUUCAGGACACUGGGGCUAAUCCCGGAUAGGAGCUCCUGCUGCAUGGUGGGGGUUGGUAAGUUUCGGCGGUUGGGGAUGGACUGGCGGCUUAUCAGCUUGUUGGAGGGGUAGUGGCUUACCAAGGCAUUGACGGGUAGCCGGCCUGAGAGGAUGAGCGGACACAUUAGGACUGAGAUACGGCCCAGACUCCUACGGGAGGCAGCAGUGGAGAAUAGUGCACAAUGGGCUGAAGCCUGAUGCAGCAACGCCGCGUGCGGGAUGACAGCCUUCGGGUUGUAAACCACUUUCGCCUGUGACGAAGCGUGAGUGACGGUAAUGGGUAAAGAAGCUCCGGCUAACUACGUG
rnacentral:rRNA from 1 species